UACGUAGGGGGCAAGCGUUAUCCGGAUUUACUGGGUGUAAAGGGAGCGUAGACGGCCAGACAAGUCUGAAGUGAAAAUCCAGCGCUUAACGUUGGAAGUGCUUUGGAAACUGCCAGGCUGGAGUGUCGGAGGGGUAAGCGGAAUUCCUAGUGUAGCGGUGAAAUGCGUAGAUAUUAGGAGGAACACCAGUGGCGAAGGCGGCUUACUGGACGACUACUGACGCUGAGGCUCGAAAGCGUGGGGAGCAAACAGG
rnacentral:rRNA from 1 species